GCCCCUAUAGUAUAAUGGUUAGUACGCGAGUCUCAUAUGACGGUAUCUCUAGAUCUCAGUUCGAUUCUGAGUGGGGGCA
rnacentral:tRNA from 2 species